rnacentral:rRNA from 1 species
AGCAGCCGCGGUAAUUCCAGCUCCAAUAGCGUAUAUUAAAGUUGUUGCAGUUAAAAAGCUCGUAGUUGAAUUUCGGGAUCAAUUUAUUGGUCGUGCUAUUGUACGUACUGGUAUUAUUGAUUCCUACCUUCCGACGAACCAUGAUGUCAUUAAUUUGGUGUCUUGGGGAAUCAGGACUGUUACUUUGAAAAAAUUAGAGUGUUUAAAGCAGGCUCACGCUUGAAUACAUUAGCAUGGAAUAACGAAAUAGGACGUUUGAUUCUAUUUUGUUGGUUUCUAGGAUCGACGUAAUGAUUAAUAGGGAUAGUUGGGGGCAUUAGUAUUCAAUUGUCAGAGGUGAAAUUCUUGGAUUUAUUGAAGACUAACUACUGCGAAAGCAUUUGCCAAGGAUGUUUUCAUUAAUCAAGAACGAAAGUUAGGGGAUCGAAGACGAUCAGAUACCGUCGUAGU